CUGGAUGCCCAGCUGAGUCAGGAGCUUCCUGAGGGCCUCCACCCAGCGUGACUGAGUGCAGUUCAUCGCCACUGCCCACCUCUUAUCAUUUAGGGACAUGUGAGCUUCCUGAGGGCAGGUGCUGGGCCAGACGUGUCUCCUGUCCUCCCCCUACAUCCCCGUAUCUGGGCAAUUGUGAAUUUCUCACGUUCUCUUCUAAAAAUACAUCAAACCCAUCCACUUCUCUCUGCCCUUCCCCACAGCGGCUGCCACACUGGCUGGGACCGUCAACCCCUCUGGGCUGGCCCAGUGCAGGGGCUUCGGCCUGUUCUUCCCAGUUCCUGCCCCGCUGCCUGCAGCCUGGUCUCCGCACAGCUGUCAGAGGGGGCAGCUGCUGUCCUCCUCCUCCUGCUCACUGAGACAAACCUGUCACUUUAAAGUGUACAAUUCCAUGGCGUUUCGUAGAUCCACAGUGCUGUGCUGCCACCACCAUGGAGCUCCGAAGGAUGAUUACCCCGAAAAGAAGUCCUGUGUUCACGAGCAGCCACUCCCCGUCGCCCCCUCCCCAGCCCUGGCAACCCCUCAUUUUCCGUUGGUGGAUUCGUUGUCUGUUCUGCGUGUUUCGUGUGAAAGGAGUCACACGACACGUGAACUUUCGCGUCCAGCUUCUCGCAGCAGAAAGUUUUCAAGCUUCAGCCAUGCAGCAGGUAUUAGACCACAGUUUAUCCAUUCACGGAUGGACAUCGGGCCAGAAGGAGCUUCUUAAAGUGUUCAUUGUGUGAAGUGUCUUCUGUUCAGAACCUUCGAGGGCUUAGCAAGAUCUACAGGCCUCUUUGUGGCCCAGCCCUGGGACCCCGGGGACUCUGCACCCUCUCACCCUCAUCCUUUAUGGCCCCAUGCCCUGCUUGCCAUCUCCACCUCACCACACUCUGUCUGCCUCAGUUUCCCGCCUGCCUUCUCACUGCCCAGGCGGAGCGUCUGCCUGUUUCCCUUGACUGGGCUGUACUCAUCCUUCAAGUCCAUGUUGAGAUGUCACUUCCAUGGGGACACCCUCCUGAGCCUCCCAGCCACGCUGCAUCAGCCUCAUGAAACGACCGCGGGCCCCACUGGACCCAUUCGAGCAUGGCACGUGCGGCUGGGUUAGCCUCCCCUUCUUGCUGCUGCAGCCCGAGCUCCUCAAGGGUAGGGCCGAGUCUGAUUGGUCUUGGCAGCCCCCACAGUACACAGCAACCCUGCCAGGGUGGCUGGCACGGAGGAGGCACUCAUUGCAGGCUGCGUGGACUCCUGGAGGGCAUGUGUGAUGCAUGAGGAAGUGCCAGGUAGCGGUGCCUUAUCCUGGGUAGUGCUGUUUCUACUUGGCAUGGAAUAGCAAGUUGGCAUCUGGUACAAACGAGUAACUUCUCAUCCAGUUGGCCCAAGCACAGAAUUAGUCUCUACCCAUACCAGAGGAUGUGACAUAUUUUUAUAUUUUUAAGAAAUUCAUAAAUCAUUUGUGGGACCGUCACCAGUAGCCACGUGGCUGAAUUAACCUCUCAUCUGCCACGAGGGCGAUCUUGUUGUCACUUAACCUUAUAACUCACAGAGUGUGGGGCACCUGCCAGGCAGGCCCUCUGGGCCGGGGGUUGAUCUCUAAGCAACUGGAGGACAGCAGUCUCUGGGAACCCCCAGGUGCCUGCCAGCCCUGCUUCUCCAGGCACUCGGUGUGAAAGGUCAGGCUGGGGGGUGGUCCGUGAUCCCCACUGGUGGUGGCCCUUUGGGUCUGAAGUCACCGGCUCUGAGAGGGCGUGGUUGUACGGAUGCUGCUGAACAAACCCAAGGGGGCUGCUGCUGUUACAUGGGCUUCCAGUGAACGCCAGAGGAAACGGCUCAGCUGGGGGCCGCCGGGCUCCACCACGACACCCUCUCCUGGACACUGUUCCCUUGGUCCCUGACUGACCCAGAUAUCCUCCCCCAAGCUGGGUCCAGCCAUCCGGUCUGGCUUGUACCCACUCUCCAGCAGAAGACACCCCUGCACCUUCCCACAGACUCAGCUCCUGGCCCGGAGUGCCCCAUCUGCACAAGCCCCUCCUCCCUCGGAAGGCCUUCUAGAAUGUUCUAACCCUCCACUCCUCUCUUGAGCCAGAGCGGUGCUUGUGCUUGUGUGUGCGCGGUGCAGCCCAGCCCAACAGCCCCUGCCCGGCCUGCCCUGUGUGUCCGCAGCCAGGGUCUGGAGGGUGUGGCGCUGGCUGCAUGCUUCCCUCAGCUGCCCCUCCCUCCCUGGCCUGGCAGGGUGUGGGGUGCUGUGCCAGAGCGUGACCGAAGGCAUCCCCACCAUGCCCAGUCCCUAUGAGCUGCCCUGCAGGGGCCAACUUGUCCCAGGAACAAGCUGUCCCCGAACCACACGCCAUUGGCUUUGGCACGGCGGAGGCUUUGGCAGCAGAUGCACCUUCUUAAUUACGUCUCUCGGCUGCUAUUUCAACCAGCGUGUGGUCCGGGCAUGUGCCAGCCUCCACAGCGUCUGCGUUCCCACAGGACGGCUCUGCACUGUCCCUCCCAUGGCUCCUCAUCAUUUCGGGGCUGGUGAUGCCAAAGCCACCCCCAUGGGCUCCUUGUCCCAGCUGUCCUUCCCCAUCACUGCCUGGCUCUGCGCUGACCACCGGGGAGCCCCGGCCACCUCAGCCUGGCAUCCAAGGUCCCGCCGUCAGCCCAGCCUCAGCCAUCCGUGCCACCUCCCUCACCUCGCCCUUCCCGUGGCACCCGACAGGCCUGGCUCGUUGCAGCUGCUGUGGUUUGCUUUUUUUUCUUUUUUGAGACAGGGUCCUGCUCGGUCACCCAGGCUGGAGUGCAGUGGAGAUCACAGCUCACCGCAGCCUUGGCCUCCUGGGCUCAGGUGAUCCUCCAGCUUCAGCCCCCCAAGUAGCUGGGACUACAGGCACGUGCCACCACGUCCAGCUAAUGUUCGUGUGUUGUAGAGACGGUCUCACUACGUCAUCCAGGCUCAUCGUGAACCUGUGUUUCGGUUUCUUUUGAUCGCUCUCUCUUGAUGGCCUCAGUUUCCAAAAGGAUCCUUUUGGUUCCGAGGGCCCUUGAAGGCCCCUGUGGCAGGAGACCCCCCUCCCCAGGGCAUCCCCUGUCUGCACGCCUCUCGGCUGGAGCUUCCUGCUGCCCCGUGCCCCGGAUGGAUGCUCUUUGCAGGUAGGGGCGAUGUACGAGCCACCCUCAACUCUCAGCCUCUGGGGCAGCGCGGGGCAGCCGGUGGGGGCUGGGGUCUGCUGGGCUGGGUUGUCCUGGGUCUUGAACUGAGUCCACGGUCCGAGUGUGACCCGCUGUCCCCGCCAAGCCCUGCCCUCUCCAGCCUGGGCCUCCGCAGUGGAGACAGAUCCUCCACCACGUUAGACCAUGCAGCAUUUCCUGAGUGAGAACCGGUUUUGCUUCUCUGCAUGGAAGUGGGCGAGAAGUGCAAAUGCCGGGCGGGGCCUCGGGGGGCUUCCUCCUGGGGCUGCCUGGGUCCACGUCUGUCUGCGUGCUCUCACCUGCCUACAGGUGCCUGGAAAGCUCUGGAAGGUGCUCACAGGUGCAUUGCGGGGAGGACUUCGGGGAAGGAACAGUGUGGGGGACUGGGGUGCAGGUGAAGGGGGCUCUCACUGUUUAAUAUCAAGCCUGCUUUAGUGUGGCUUUGUAUAAUUGUAAAAUCACAUUGUUAAAAAUGAUAAUAGUAAAAUAAAUAAUAAUAAAGACGUCUUUUAUUUUAUUUUAUUUUUUUUGAGAUGGAAUCUCGCUCUGUCCCCCAGGCUGGAGUGCAGCGGCAUGAUCUCAGCUCACUGCAACCUCUGCCUCCCAGGUUCAAGCGAUUAUCCUGUCUCAGUGUCCUAGUACCUGGGACUAGAGAUGUGCGCCACCACGCCAGGCUAAUUUUUGUAUUUUUCGUAAAGACAGGGUUUCACCAUGUUGACAAGGCUGGUCUUGAACCCCUGACCUCAGGUGAUCCACCCAUCUCGGCCUCUCAAAGUGCUGGGCUCCGUCUACUGUGCUCUGGGACUUGCCCACUGGCAUGGGGUGUGGGUGAGGGGCCUGCCCCGAUGCCCUGCACGGAGGCGUCCAUGUCCGCAGCCCCAGCUGCAUGCAUUUCUUCACACGUCCCCUGCACACGGGAUGCACUGUACCACGUGCCCAGCUGUGGGCUGUGUGUGGGGUGGGGACGUGCAGGUCCCCGAGGUGGCAAGGGGGAGUUCCGAGUUCCAGGGACAAUGUGGAUGGAGAAGAAGAUGCAGGAGAGACCUAUGGGGCCUGUGGGGACUCCAGGCAUGGCGCAGUCAAGCCCGCUGGCUGGUGCUGAACAUGGCUGCGGGCGGGCGUUGCGGUGCUCGGGACCGGUGGGCGCCACGGCCUGGCUGGGGCGAUCAGGUGCCAGCUGCCUCUCCUGGCUGGGGCUGGCUUGGUCUUAGCACACAGACGAGCCGGCAGCACAAGCACAGCCCUCGGUCUUGGCUGGGAGCAGGACGGGCCCUGCCAGGCGCCGGAUCAGAGCCAGGAGCUCCAUGGCAAGCCCCGCGGGACAUAUUGUACGUCAGCUCCACGGCAGCCCUUUCCAGACGGGCCUCUGCUCGCCUGGGUAACCGGUGGCGGAAUGCGGAGGUGCCCAGCCCCGGCUGCCGCCCCGCCUGCACCCCGAACUGCCGGCCUGGAAAUGUCCUCUCUGAGCCCUGGAGGCGGCCGGUGCUUUCUGGGGAGCUCUGCCUUCUUCCUGCUCCCCAUCUGUCCGUGGAGCUGGCACCUGUCCGCGGAUCCGAGCUGGCCAGCCAGCACUGCCUCGAGGUGCACGGGGGUGUCUCGGGGAGACUGGUGGAGUGAUUGCUGCAGGCUGCUGCCCUUCACCGAGCCUCCUGUGGCCACUCUCGGGGUAACCCGUGUAUGCUGCCUGGGGGUCCCUGCACCAGCCCUCUGGGAGGCACGCAGGCUCCAGAGUUCCAGUGGGGAGCACAUAGUGUGGUGGUGGGACACCCGUUGGGGCCACACACCACUGACGGGCAGCAGCCCCCAUGCCCCCGCCCCCAGUCCCCCGUCUGCUGCUCCAGAGCCCUGAGCAAAGUGUGGACCUGGGCACCCUGAAUAAGACUCAGGUGGGGUCUGAGUGCCAUGUCUCAGCCGCUGUGGCUGAGGGGAUAGAGCGGCCCGGGGCCAGGCGCGGUGGCUCAAGCCUGUAAUCCCAGCCCUUUGGGAGGCCGAGGCGGGUGGAUCACGAGGUCAAGAGAUCGAGACCAUCCUGGUCAACAUGGUGAAACCCCGUCUCUACUAAAAAUACAAAAUAUUAGCUGGGCAGGGUGGCGCGUGCCUGUAAUCCCAGCUACUCAGGAGGCUGAGGCAGGAGAAUUGCCUGAACCCAGGGGGCGGAGGUUGCGGUGAGCCGAGAUCGCGCCAUUGCACUGCAGCCUGGGUAACAAGCGAAACUCGGCCUUAAAAAAAAAAAAAAAAAAAAAAGAGCAGCCCUUUUGUGCUAUUCUCAUAUUCUUUUGGGUGGAUUAACCAAGUUGUUUUUGAUCUUCACGUGUGUAGCUUAUCCUUUUUAUUAUUGAGGAUGUUCCAUUUUAUAAAUAUAAAAUCUGUUUACGUUUUUUCCUGGCCCUGUGCCUGUCGGUUGUUUCCAGUUUUUGACUAUUAUAAAUACAGUUGCUAUAAACAUUCUUGAGCAAGUAUUUUUGGGGACAAACGCUUCUAUUUCCUUUGGAUAAAUACCUAGGAGGGCCCUAGGAGAGGUGGAGGUUUAACGCUACGUGAGAGAAUGCCAAGCAGUUUCCUAGGCGGCGGCCCCGUUAUACACGUCGCCCGCCCUGUCGGCGCGUUCUGGCUCUUGCACCUGCACGCCACAGGUUGACAUCUGGUGUUGCCAACCUGGAGGGCCAAAAACUACUUCCUGGAGGUUUUCGUUUCUAUUUCCUGAUGAUUGAUGACGUUACACAGCUUUUCAUGUGCUUGUCCACCAUGUCUGUGUCUUUUUUUUUUUUUUGAGACGGAGUUUUGCUCUUGUUACCCAGGCUGGAGUGCAAUGGCGCAAUCUCGGCUCACCGCAACCUCUGCCUCCUGGGUUCAGGCAAUUCUCCUGCCUCAGCCUCCUGAGUAGCUGGGAUUACAGGCACGCACCACCCUGCCCAGCUAAUAUUUUGUAUUUUUAGUAGAGACGGGGUUUCACCAUGUUGACCAGGAUGGUCUCGAUCUCUAGACCUCGUGAUCCACCCGCCUCGGCCUCCCAAAGUGCUGGGAUUACAGGUGUGAGCCACUGCGCCCGGCCCUUCUGUGUCUUUUAUGAAGUAUCUUUUGCAGCUUUUAAUUGGAUUUUUACUAUUGAUUUGUAAGAACUCUUUAUAUAUUUUAGACAGUUGGAUUGUCUUUUUAUUGUUAAUUUGAAAGAACUCUCUAUGUAUUCUGCAUAUAAGAUGUGUGUGUAUAUAUAUAUAAAUAGAGAAAAUAUAUUUUUGUGUAUAUAUAUGUGUAUAUAUUCCUUUUUCCCUAAUUCUAUGAAAUGCCCUUUUUGUUUUUUAACAAUGUCUUGAUGACCUGAAGUUUUAAAUUUUGAUGACAUUCUGCUUGUCAUUUUUUCUUUGUUGGUAGAGUCUGUUGUGUCCUCUCUAAAGAGCUUUUGUUUACCUCAAUGUUGCAGAUUUUCUCCUGUGUGUUCUCCUAGAUAUUUCCUAGUCUGUAUUUUAGAUUUAGAUCUGUGGUUUAUCUUAAAUUAAUUUUCAUGUAUGGCAUGAGGAAGGGGUUGGGGCUUAUUUCCUGCAUACAUUUAUCCAGUUGUGUCAACAUCAUUUGUCAAAGAGACUUUCUUUUCUAUUGAAUUUAUUUGCAGACUUCAUUAAAAAUCAAUGGAAAAUGGG